GUCCACGCCAUAAACGAUGUCAACUGGUUGUUGGUCCUUAGCUGGAUCAGUAACGAAGCUAACGCGUGAAGUUGACCGCCUGGGGAGUACGGCCGCAAGGUUGAAACUCAAAAGGAAUUGACGGGGACCCGCACAAGCGGUGGAUGAUGUGGUUUAAUUCGAUGCAACGCGAAAAAACCUUACCCACCUUUGACAUGGCAGGAAGGCUUCAGAGAUGAGGCUGUGCUCGAAAGAGAACCUGCACACAGGUGCUGCAUGGCUGUCGU
rnacentral:rRNA from 1 species